GAUGAACGCUGGCGGCGUGCCUAAUACAUGCAAGUCGAGCGAACGGACGAGAAUCUUGCUUCUCUGAUGUUAGCGGCGGACGGGUGAGUAACACGUGGAUAACCUACCUAUAAGACUGGGAUAACUUCGGGAAACCGGAGCUAAUACCGGAUGAUAUUUUGAACCGCAUGGUUCAAAAGUGAAAGACGGUCUUGCUGUCACUUAUAGAUGGAUCCGCGCUGCAUUAGCUAGUUGGUAAGGUAACGGCUUACCAAGGCAACGAUGCAUAGCCGACCUGAGAGGGUGAUCGGCCACACUGGAACUGAGACACGGUCCAGACUCCUACGGGAGGCAGCAGUAGGGAAUCUUCCGCAAUGGGCGAAAGCCUGACGGAGCAACGCCGCGUGAGUGAUGAAGGUCUUCGGAUCGUAAAACUCUGUUAUUAGGGAAGAACAUAUGUGUAAGUAACUGUGCACAUCUUGACGGUACCUAAUCAGAAAGCCACGGCUAACUACGUG
rnacentral:rRNA from 1 species